CUGGAGUCCCAUGUACUAAACUCAAACUACAGUCUGGAUUACCAACAGUCACCUGAGCAAAACAGUUCACAUCAGCUGCAAAACUCAUUCAAAGUAACACAACUCUUAUCAAACGUCUUAAAACAGGCUCAGAGCAGCCAAACACUAUGAACAACCCUCACUGAGAUAACACCCACUGUCACUCAGAACACACUGAGGAGGUAAAAAAACUAGAGGUACAUA